AGUCGUAACAAGGUUUCCGUAGGUGAACCUGCGGAAGGAUCAUUAACAAAUCUUCUUUAUAAAAACCUGUUGCAUCGGCCGUGGAAGGUUCCCUUUGGCGAGACAGUCGCCUCGUCCAUUGGGAGUGCUGAAGCGGAGUAUUGGUCGUGGCAUCGGUAUGAUGCUGACCUUUACACACAUAAACGUCUAAUUGUUGUCUAAUUGUUGCGUAAAUAUAAUUAAUACAACUAUUAACAGUGGAUCUCUUGGCUCCCA
rnacentral:misc_RNA from 1 species